AUUGAACGCUGGCGGCAGGCCUAACACAUGCAAGUCGAGCGGAAGCACAGUGCUUGCUCGUGGAUUCAGCGGCGGACGGGUGAGUAAUGCCUGGGAAUAUGCCUGGUUGUGGGGGAUAACGUCCGGACACGGGCGCUAAUACCGCAAAAGUCCUGAGGGCGUAAGUGGGGGAGCUUCGGACCUUACGCCCUCAGAUGAGCCGAGGUCGGAUUAGCUAGUUGGUGGGGUAAAGGCCUACCAAGGCGACGAUCCGUAACUGGUCUGAGAGGAUGAUCAGUCACACUGGAACUGAGACACGGUCCAGACUCCUACGGGAGGCAGCAGUGGGGAAUAUUGGACAAUGGGCGAAAGCCUGAUCCAGCCAUACCGCGUGUGUGAAGAAGGUCUUCGGAUUGUAAAGCACUUUUAGUGGGGAAGAAGAGCAGUAAGUUAAUACCUUGCUGUUUUGACGGUACCAACAGAAUAAGCACCGGCUAACUUCGUG
rnacentral:rRNA from 1 species